rnacentral:rRNA from 1 species
GAUGAACGCUAGCAGAACGCUUAACACAUGCAAGUCGAACGAAGUUAUUAGAUAGCUUGCUAUCUGAUAAUUUAGUGGCAAACGGGCGAGUAACGCGUAUCUAACCUGCCCUUGUGUGAGGCAAAACUAUGGAGACAUAGCUAAUUCCUCAUACGACCUACAGAAUGAAAAUAUGUGGGUGAAAGAUUUAUCGCACAAGGAGGGGGAUGCGUCCUAUCAGGUAGUUGGUGAGGUAAUGGCUCACCAAGCCUAUGACGGGUAGCCGGUCUGAGAGGAUGUCCGGCCGCAAUGGAACUGAGACACGGUCCAUACUCCUACGGGAGGCAGCAGUGGGGAAUAUUGGACAAUGGGCGAAAGCCUGAUCCAGCAAUGCCGCGUGCAGGAUGAAGGCCUUCGGGUUGUAAACUGCUUUUGUACGGAACGAAAAGACUCCUUCUAAUACAGGGGGUCCAUGACGGUACCGUAAGAAUAAGCACCGGCUAACUACGUGCCAGCCGCCGCGGUAA